GACGAACGCUGGCGGCGUGCUUAACACAUGCAAGUCGAACGAUGAAGCCCAGCUUGCUGGGUGGAUUAGUGGCGAACGGGUGAGUAACACGUGAGCAACCUGCCCUUGACUCUGGGAUAAGCCUGGGAAACUGGGUCUAAUACCGGAUAGGGACGUCCACCGCAUGGUGGUUGUUGGAAAGAUUUAUCGGUCAUGGAUGGACUCGCGGCCUAUCAGCUUGUUGGUGAGGUAAUGGCUCACCAAGGCGACGACGGGUAGCCGGCCUGAGAGGGUGACCGGCCACACUGGGACUGAGACACGGCCCAGACUCCUACGGGAGGCAGCAGUGGGGAAUAUUGCACAAUGGGCGAAAGCCUGAUGCAGCGACGCCGCGUGAGGGAUGACGGCCUUCGGGUUGUAAACCUCUUUCAGUAGGGAAGAAGCGAAAGUGACGGUACCUGCAGAAGAAGCACCGGCUAACUACGUGCCAGCCGCCGCAGUAAGAC
rnacentral:rRNA from 1 species